GACGAACGCUGGCGGCGUGCUUAACACAUGCAAGUCGAACGGAAAGGCCCUGCUUUUGUGGGGUGCUCGAGUGGCGAACGGGUGAGUAACACGUGAGUAACCUGCCCUUGACUUUGGGAUAACUUCAGGAAACUGGGGCUAAUACCGGAUAGGAGCUCCUGCUGCAUGGUGGGAGUUGGAAAGUUUCGGCGGUUGGGGAUGGACUCGCGGCUUAUCAGCUUGUUGGUGGGGUAGUGGCUUACCAAGGCUUUGACGGGUAGCCGGCCUGAGAGGGUGACCGGCCACAUUGGGACUGAGAUACGGCCCAGACUCCUACGGGAGGCAGCAGUGGGGAAUAUUGCACAAUGGGCGGAAGCCUGAUGCAGCAACGCCGCGUGCGGGAUGACGGCCUUCGGGUUGUAAACCGCUUUCGCCUGUAACGAAGCGUGAGUGACGGUAAUGGGUAAAGAAGCACCGGCUAACUACGUG
rnacentral:rRNA from 1 species